rnacentral:tRNA from 1 species
GUCUCUGUAGCUUAAUUGGAUAGAGCCCUGGCCUCCGAAGCCGGUAAUACCAGUUCAACUCUGGUCAGAGGCA